rnacentral:rRNA from 1 species
AUGGAAAAAUUUGUUUAGAAAAAGUAUUGUGAAAGAGGGUAUUAUUUUAUUCCGAAGGGUUAGAAUAAAUUUUGUAAAAAUAGAAGUAAAGUUUCUUACUUUUUGUAUGAUGGUUUAUAAAGUUUAAAAUAAAAUUAUAGGUCCUGAAAGCUUUUGAGCUAUCUUAUUUGUUGGCUAAUGUUUCAAAAUUAGAAAAAAAAAUAAGAUAGAAAUGACAUGUUUUUCGUAAGAGCUGAUAGCUGGUUAAGAGAGAAAUACGUUUUCGUGUAGAUUUUAAUAUUACUGUUUAAAAAUUAUUUUAUGUAAUUUAGAAUUUGAGUUACAAAGGGAUGAGCUUUUGUAAAUUAUAUGGGGUUGAGUUUUAUUGUAGAGUUGAUAUUGCUAAUCAAUAAUAUGUUUUCGUAAAAAAGAAAUAAUUUAUUGCGGUUUUUAGUAUCUCUUUAAUUUUAGGAAUUUUCUAAAUUAAAAUAAGUAUAAAAUUAGUAUUAAUGGAAUAAGUUUUAUAUUAAUAAGUGUUAAAUAAAAUUAAUUUUUUUGUAAUAAUUAUUAUUAAAGAAUUCGGCAAAUAUUCUCUACGCCUGUUUAACAAAAACAUGGCCUUUUGGUUUAUAUUAAUAAAAGGUUGGGCCUGCCCAGUGACUCGAAAUAGUUUAACGGCUGCGAUUGAAACCGUACUAAGGUAGCAUAAUAAUUUGCCCUUUAAUUGGGGGAGAGAAUGAAUGGUUUUACGGUAGAGAGUCUGUUUUAAUAAUAAGUAAAGAAGUUAACUUUUAAGUGAAAAGGCUUAAGUGUUUUUAAAAGACGAGAAGACCCCGUCGAGCUUAAUUAUUCUUUGGUUUUUUAGAUUAAAGAUGAAAUUUUAUUGGGGCAAUAGGAAACGAAGUGAUCGUUUUUUGUUUUUAUUUGGAUCCAGUCUGAUUGAAAAAAGCAAAAGCUACCGCGGGGAUAACAGGGUAAUUUUUUCUGAGAGUUCGAAUUAAAGAGAAAGAUUGCUACCUCGAUGUUGGAAUAGAGUUUCUUUAUGCUUGCAGCAGGUAUAUAAGUGGGACUGUUCGUCCUUUAAAACUUUACAUGAUCUGAGUUCAGACCGGUGUAAACUAGGUCGGUUUCUAUCUUUAUUUAAAAAGGUUUUUGUACGAAAGGAUCAAACCUUUAUGUAAUACUUUAUUGGUAAAAAUUUUUA